rnacentral:rRNA from 1 species
CGGAAGAUGUAACGGGGCUAAACCAUGCACCGAAGCUGCGGCAGCGACACUAUGUGUUGUUGGGUAGGGGAGCGUUCUGUAAGCCUGCGAAGGUGACCUGUGAGGGUUGCUGGAGGUAUCAGAAGUGCGAAUGCUGACAUAAGUAACGAUAAAGCGGGUGAAAAGCCCGCUCGCCGGAAGACCAAGGGUUCCUGUCCAACGUUAAUCGGGGCAGGGUGAGUCGACCCCUAAGGCGAGGCCGAAAGGCGUAGUCGAUGGGAAACAGGUUAAUAUUCCUGUACUUGGUGUUACUGCGAAGGGGGGACGGAGAAGGCUAUGUUAGCCGGGCGACGGUUGUCCCGGUUUAAGCAUGUAGGCUGAUUGUCCAGGCAAAUCCGGAUAAUCAAGGCUGAGGUGUGAUGACGAGGCACUACGGUGCUGAAGUAACAAAUGCCCUGCUUCCAGGAAAAGCCUCUAAGCAUCAGG